rnacentral:misc_RNA from 1 species
ACAAACUUGGUCAUUUAGAGGAAGUAAAAGUCGUAACAAGGUUUCCGUAGGUGAACCUGCGGAAGGAUCAUUAUUGAAUAAACUUGGUUUAAACUGUUGCUGGCCCUGUGGGGUAUGUGCACGUUUAUUCCGACUUUAUAUUACUACCACCUGUGCACCUUUUGUAAAUCUGAAAUAACCCUCGGGCUUGACUCGGUUCAAAGGAUUGUCGUUUUAUAAUAUCGACUUCUCUUUACAUUUUUCAGCAUUUACGUUUCAAAUAUACCCAUGUGAAAAAAGUUUAGAAUGCUUUCUUAGGCUUUAAAAAUGCCUGUAAACAUAUAUACAACUUUCAACAACGGAUCUCUUGGCUCUCGCAUCGAUGAAGAACGCAGC